AAUAGAUACCCGGGUAGUCCACGCCGUAAACGAUGAGUGCUAAGUGUUAGGGGGUUUCCGCCCCUUAGUGCUGCAGCUAACGCAUUAAGCACUCCGCCUGGGGAGUACGGUCGCAAGACUGAAACUCAAAGGAAUUGACGGGGGCCCGCACAAGCGGUGGAGCAUGUAGUUUAAUUCGAAGCAACGCGAAGAACCUUACCAGGUCUUGACAUCCCAUUGACCACUAUGGAGACAUAGUUUUCCCUUCGGGGACAACGGUGACAGGUGGUGCAUGGUUGUCGUCAGCUCGUGUCGUGAGAUGUUGGGUUAAGUCCCGCAACGAGCGCAACCCUUGUUCUUAGUUGCCAUCAUUUAGUUGGGCACUCUAAGGAGACUGCCGGUGACAAACCGGAGGAAGGUGGGGAUGACGUCAAAUCAUCAUGCCCCUUAUGACCUGGGCUACACACGUGCUACAAUGGACGGUACAAACGGUUGCCAACCCGCGAGGGGGAGCUAAUCCGAUAAAACCGUUCUCAGUUCGGAUUGUAGGCUGCAACUCGCCUACAUGAAGCC
rnacentral:rRNA from 1 species